ensembl:lncRNA
CAGCAUCCACCGAGAGACUCUUGCUGCCAAUAGAAUGCCUGACAGCUUAAAAGCCGUUUUGAAAACUACAGUGAAAAUGGAUAACUUUGUUAAAGUAAGGACGCUGAACUCUCGUGUAUUUUCUGCAUUAUGCAUUAUAUGGGCAGCGACCAUUUAACGCUUUUACAACAUUAAGAAGUGCACUGGUUAUCAAGGGGCAAAGUACUGACACGUUUGUUUUUUUAAGUGAGAAACGCGCUUAAAGUUUUCUUUACGGACCAUAAUUUUCACUUGUCUGACGAGUUUCUGACACGACUGACCUAUCUGGAUGUUUUUUCUCGUCUGAAUGAUCUGAAUCUAGGAUUACAGGGACUCUCCACAACUAUAUUCAAUGUGCGGGACAAAAUUGAGGCUAUAAUUAAGAAGUUGGAGCUCUUCUCUGUCUGCAUUAACAAGGACAACACACAGGUCUUUCCAUCAUUGUAUGAUUUUUUGGGUGCAAAUGAACUCAAGCUUACGGACAAUCUCAAAUGUGAUAUAUAGCGAAGCACCUGAGUGAGCUGGGUGUGAAAUUACGCAGGUAUUUUCCCAAAACGGACAACACAAACAACUGGAUUCGUUAUCCUUUUCAUGCCUUGCCUCCAGUCCACUUACCGAUAUCUGAACAAGAGAGCCUCAUAGAAAUUGCAACAAGUGGUUCUGUGAAAAUUUAAUUUAAUCAGGAACCACUACCAGAUAUCUGGAUAGGGCUUCGCUCAGAGUAUCCUGCCUUGGCAAAUCGGCUGUUAAGAAAGGGAUGCCCUUUGCAAUUAAGACACUGAUGUCCUUUGCAACCACGUACUUAUGUGAGAGUGGAUUCUUGGCCCUCACUAGCAUGAAAACUAAAUACAGGCACAGACUAUGUGUAGAAAAUGAUUGAAGACUGAGACUCUCUCCAAUUCAACCCAACAUUGUAGAGUUAUGUACAUCUCUUCAAGCAUACUCUUCUCAUUAACCUGUGGUGUUGCCCAUCUUCCACAUUAUCCGCAGUGGAUUUAUACCUGUGUUCUCUGUUGCCAGUUAGUAUUGUUCGUCAAGCCUACCAGUGGUUUCCUCCAUGCUCCUGUCUGUUUCUAGUUCCUGUUUUGACCGUUCUACCUGCCCUGGGCCUGCCUGCCAUUCUGUACCUUGUCACACCACACUGCAUUAUUGACCUCUGCCUGACCUUCAGCCUGCCGUUCUGUACCUUUUGGACUCGGCUCUGGAUUACUGACCUCUGUCUGCCCUUGACCUGUCAUUUUGCCUGCCCCUGUUCUAGUAAUAAACUGUUC